rnacentral:misc_RNA from 1 species
GCGAUCAAAUCGACCAGGCCUUAACAAUGCUUUGUCUAAUAUAUCAAGUCUAUUUGUGCCAGCAAGCACAACUACACCAGAUGUGGUUGCAAAUCCGUCCAUUUCUACAAGUAGUUGAUUUAAAGUUCUUUCACGUUCAUCAUUUGCUCCAGAAGAGUGUCCCCUCCCUCUUGAACCACCAAUUGCAUCAAUCUCAUCUAUGAAAAUAAUACUAGGUGCACAUCGUCUUGCCUCCCG